UCGGGUAUGGUGUAGCGGUAACAUCGCUGACUCUCAUAGUGAGGACUCAGCAGCCCGGGGUUCGACUCCCCGUAUCCGAG